UAUAUACUUCUUCCGUCCAAAAUUACUUGUCACAGAAAUGAAUGUAUCAAAACGUAUUUUUAGUUUUAGAUACAUCCCCUUCUGUGAAAAGUAAUUCAGGACGGAGGAAGUACCAC
rfam:Triticum aestivum genome assembly, contig: Triticum_aestivum_CS42_TGACv1_scaffold_113153_2AS